rnacentral:tRNA from 1 species
AAGGGAGACCUAAUUCAGGUAUAAGACGAAAAAAAAGUAGUCCCUACCAAGAAUCAAUCCCAAAAGGUCGGAGCGAGGCAAAAUUGGCUUUCAAACUAGGUUCUGGGUUCACACAAGACCUGAAUCAGGAACAAGGGCUAUUAGCUCAGGUGGUUAGAGCGCACCCCUGAUAAGGGUGAGGUCCCUGGUUCGAGUCCAGGAUGGCCCACCUGUACAGGUGGCAAAAACAAAGAAAAGAAGCGAGGAAUCAGCACCUUAUCUUACUUAUAUAGUAAGAGAGAAUGCUGGCUCUGAGUUCAGAGUCCAGAGGAACCUUGAAAACUGCAUAGAGCUAGGUGAAAAAGCCAAAAAAGAAGACCACAA